rnacentral:rRNA from 1 species
GGUUUCGAAAGGAGACAGGGGUCAAAGCGGGCCUCUAUACAUAGCUCGCGCCACGAGAUGAGCCUGCGGCCCAUCAUGGUAGUUGGUAGGGUAACGGCCUACCAAGCCGAAGACGGGUAGCUGGUCUGAGAGGAUGAUCAGCCACACUGGAACUGAGACACGGUCCAGACUCCUACGGGAGGCAGCAGUGGGGAAUCUUGCGCAAUGGGCGAAAGCCUGACGCAGCGACGCCGCGUGAGUGAUGAAGGCCUUCGGGUUGUAAAGCUCUGUGGAGGGGGACAAUAAGGGUUGGCCAAUAUCCAGCUCGAUGACGGUACCCCUUUAGCAAGCACCGGCUAACUCUGUGCCAGCAGCCGCGGUAA